GUGUUAGCUGGCAAGGAGGAAGUUGUCCGGGCGAAAAGGGGGUGUGGCGGUAGCCAUGAAGGCAGGGAGCCAGGCAUAAGGGUACGGGUCCUUCCAUGACGAUGUGUAGACGAGAAUACCCAAGGAUAUGUGAUGCUGGAUCUGACAAGGGGGUCGCAAUCCACCUCCUUCCAUGAUGGCUAACCUCCAACUGGUUUUUCUUUUCCCGUAGGAUAUGCACUCCUCCAUGUCAUGUCUUGGCCUCUUUUGAUGUAUGCAUUACCAUAAUCUUUCUGCAUGUCCUGUUCAAUCCAUUGGUUUCUAGCGGAUGCCGUGCAGUGAUUCAAAUUUGCUGCGUUUUCUCUGCUACAUCAGUUGGUCUAUGGGCCAUUCUUAGGUCCCUUUGUUCUGCAUGAGGCCAUGUUACUUUGGUGUGCAGGAGAGUUCUUGCAGUCUAACAUGUAAGUCUCCAAGUUUAUUGGUUCUAUGUUUGCUAUAUUAUUUGGGAGUGGAUGGUUAUGUCUGCCUGACGAUUGUCUCAAUUUGCAUGGUAGCGGUUUUCCUUUUAUCUAUCUCUAGGUGGUUGCUGUCAUAUGUGUUUUCACCGACUUUGCAAGCCUCGGGAUGCUAAUUGACUGGCUAGCAAAUUGCUAGGUGACUUCUUAAGGCCGACCAUUGUUGGACUCCUUCACUACUAUUGGAAAAUGGUGCUUCACAUAUCACACCCUUCUAUAUUAAAAUUUUCAGACGGCGAGGAAGAGCAAGUGUUGAGGUCUCGCUGCAUCCACUAGGUCAUUUCUCCAUGGCCGUCGUCUUCCCAAGUCCAGGUCAUGUCCUUGGUCUCUAUUUGAUGUAACUUCUCUAUCUUGCUGCUGGUGCUACUCCAUCUACCGGUUGCAUCUACAACAUGAACCCCCUUUAGAUGGCUUGAUCUUAUACAAUUUCUUCUAUUAUGUUGGUAUAUGGCGGUAUAUGGCUACUGUAUCCUGAUUUGUUGAGCAAAUGGUUUAGAUUCUAUGUGUAGAUCGGAGAUGCUAAAUUGGUUUGGAAGUGAGGUCGUUACCUUUGUCUAAUUUAGUGUCACGUUAAACCUGUUGCACCUUCUACCUCAUGAUGUCUCUAUUAGUAGGCAUAAAUAUUUAAUUUUGACGUCAA